AUUGAACGCUGGCGGCAUGCUUUACACAUGCAAGUCGAACGGUAACAGGCCUUCGGGUGCUGACGAGUGGCGAACGGGUGAGUAAUGCAUCGGAACGUACCCAGAGGUGGGGGAUAACGCAGCGAAAGCUGUGCUAAUACCGCAGGUGAUCUGAGGAUGAGACCUGGGGACCGCGCAGCAAUGUUUGGCCUCGCGCCUUUGGAGCGGCCGCUGUCGGAUUAGCUAGUUGGUGGGGUAAAGGCCUACCAAGGCGACGAUCCGUAGGUGGUCUGAGAGGAAGACGAGCCACAUUGGGACUGAGACACGGCCCAGACACCUACGGGAGGCAACAGUGGAGAAUUUUGCGCAAUGGACGAGAGCCUGAUCCAGCAAUGCCGCGUGCGGGAAGACGGCGUUAGGCUUGUAGAACGCUUUUGGCAGGAAGGAAGCAAUGUCCGCUAAUACCGGGCGCUAAUGACGGUACCUGCAGAAUAAGCACCGGCUAACUACGUG
rnacentral:rRNA from 1 species